AUACGUAGGGAGCGAGCGUUGUCCGGAAUUACUGGGCGUAAAGGGUGCGUAGGCGGCAAGGCAAGUCAGAUGUGAAAUCCCCGGGCUUAACUCGGGAGCUGCAUUUGAAACUGCCGUGCUUGAGUGCAGGAGAGGAAAGCGGAAUUCCUAGUGUAGCGGUGAAAUGCGUAGAUAUUAGGAGGAACACCAGUGGCGAAGGCGGCUUUCUGGACUGUAACUGACGCUGAGGCACGAAAGCGUGGGGAGCAAACAGGAUUAGAUACCCUGGUAGUCCACGCUGUAAACGAUGGAUACUAGGUGUGGGGGAGAUACAACCUCCGUGCCGCAGCAAACGCAAUAAGUAUCCCGCCUGGGGAGUACGGUCGCAAGGCUGAA
rnacentral:rRNA from 1 species